GGAUGUGAGGGCCACCUGACUGUGACAUCUGUCCCUUCAUUGAUCUCCAGGGCCAAUUUGGCUAUGUGGCUGGCUGGGCAGGUGUCUCCCUCCUCCCUUACUGUUCCAGUUGCAUUCCUUCCCAGUCUGUGUGUUUAGUCAAAGAGGAUGAUCUUCCCUGAAGCGAGGAGGACCAUUCUUAGGCCAAGGUCAUCUGAGUAGCUGUGCUCCCUGCUAGGACCUCCAAACAUGCUCCCAAGACAACACUGCAGAACAUUAUAAUGGUACAGUGAUGCAGGGUGUGAUAGUAAGUUAACCACUGACAGAGUUAUGUGCAGCAUAAGGCUGCUUCAU
rnacentral:snRNA from 1 species